GGCCUUAUAGUCAAUAAUGAUGCUAAAUUGCAAAUUUAGAGGAGGGACAAACCUAAGGCUU
rnacentral:tRNA from 1 species